rnacentral:rRNA from 1 species
GAUCCUGGCUCAGGACGAACGCUGGCGGCGUGCCUAACACAUGCAAGUCGAGCGGAGAACAGGGAAGUGCUUGCACGGAACUGUUUUUAGCGGCGGACGGGUGAGUAACGCGUGAACAAGCUGUCCUUCACAGGGGAGUAACACUUGGAACAGGUGCUAAUACCGCAUAAGACCACAGGGGUGGCAUGCCUCAGGGGUCGAAAGGAAGCAAUCCGGUGAAGGGUGCGUUCGCGUCCCAUUAGAUAGUUGGG